UACGUAGGGGGGCAAGCGUUGUCCGGAUUUAUUGGGCGUAAAGAGCGUGUAGGCGGCCUUACAGGUCAGCUGUGAAAACUCGAGGCUCAACCUCGAGACGUCGGUUGAAACCGUAUGGCUAGAGUCCGGAAGAGGAGAGUGGAAUUCCCGGUGUAGCGGUGAAAUGCGCAGAUAUCGGGGAAGAACACCCGUGGCGAAGGCGGCUCUCUGGGACGGUACUGGACGCUGAGACGCGAAAGCGUGGGGAGCGAACAGG
rnacentral:rRNA from 1 species